AUUGAACGCUGGCGGCAGGCCUAACACAUGCAAGUCGAACGAGUGGCGGACGGGUGAGUAAUGUCUGGGAAACUGCCUGAUGGAUGGGGAUAACUACUGGAAACGGUAGCUAAUACCGCAUACCAUCCGAUGUUCCCAGCUGGGAUUAGCUGGUUGGUGGGGUAACGGAUCACCAAGGCGACGAUCCCUAGCUGGUCUGAGAGGAUGACCAGCCACACUGGCACUGAGACACGGUCCAGACUCCUACGGGAGGCAGGAGUGGGUAAUAUUGCAAAAGGGGCGCAAGCCGGAUGCAGCCAUGCCGCGUGUAUGAAGAAGGCCUUCGGGUUGUAAAGUACUUUCAGCGGGGAGGCGUUACCCGCAGAAGAAGCACCGGCUAACUCCGUGCCAGCCGCCGCGGUAAUAC
rnacentral:rRNA from 1 species